AGGAGCAGCUGGAGCACGCUGAGGUCAGCACCGCUCUGAGGUAUCUGGGUCAGUACUACUUCAAGAACAAACUGUACGACGAGGCGUCUCUCUGCGCUCAGCGCUGCUGCGAUUAUAACGAUGCGCGAGAGGAAGGCAAGGCUCUGUUGAGACAGAUCUCUGCGGUGCGAGAGCAAGGAGAGCCGUCAUCGACAGACCUGUCUUUACCCUGCGUCUUCAACCCGCUGUCUAGCAACACCACACCCGUCAGGAGAGUGUCUCCACUCGACCUGUCCUCCGUCACACCCUGACACAGUUCUCCUGUUCACACACAGAUGCGGAGAAAAACAUGUUCAUGUAUGCACACUGUAAAUAACUCUGUAUAGACAACGGUGCCCGUCCUAUCAAAUAAACUGAUGAAACUUUGACAGUUGAGUGUUUUAUUACAUACGCACUCAUUUUAGUUUCGACUAUACAGUGGAAAGACAUUCAAAAGUGACAAACAUCUCUAACCACACUAACCUUCCCAAACUCGUGCAUAAGAGGAGCCAGAGCAAGAAUGUAGUGUUAAAACCUGCAUUUGGAAACUUAAAGGAAAAAAGACUUGCAUGUGCAUUCGGUGACAAUAACACUGAAUUCCUAAAGCAUCACACGCUCAAACCUUUAAACAGAAAGCAGCAACCCAUGACAAAUUUUAAAAUGAAGUAGCAUGUUCAGCUUUAUGUAUAACAUACACUUGGAAGACAAAUGGAAUUUGGAAUCAAUACUUUUAUAUUGCUUUUACAUUUUGAUUUGGUUUGCGUAAUAUACCAAAAAAA